UCUUGGUCAUUUAGAGGAAGUAAAAGUCGUAACAAGGUUUCCGUAGGUGACCUGCGGAAGGAUCAUUAUUGAAUGAACUUAGAGUCGGUUGUCGCUGGCUGUCUUUGGCAGCAUGUGCACGCCUUCUCUAUUCAUCCACACACCCCUGUGCACUUGUGAGACUGGAGGCCGUAAAAAGCCUUCAGUCUGCUAAAUUCAUAUACAAACUCAUUUAAUUGAACUGAAUGUACUUGAUGUAACGCAUCAUUAAACUAAGUUUCAACAACGGAUCUCUUGGCUCUCGCAUCGAUGAAGAACGCAGCGAAAUGCGAUAAGUAAUGUGAAUUGCAGAAUUCAGUGAAUCAUCGAAUCUUUGAACGCACCUUGCGCUCCUUGGUAUUCCUUGGAGCAUGCCUGUUUGAGUAUCAUGAAAUUCUCAAAGUAAACCUUUUGUUAAUUCAACUGGCCUUGCUUUGGAUUUGGAGGUCUUGCAGAUGUCACAGUCUGCUCCUCUUAAAUAUAUUAGCUGGAUCUCAGUAUACACUUGGUUCCACUCGGCGUGAUAAGUAUCACUCGCUGAGGACACUGUAAAAGGUGGCCAGGCAAUGCAGAUGAACCGCUUCUAAUAGUCCAUUCACUUGGACAAUUACAUUUAUGAUCUGAUCUCAAAUCAGGUAGGACUACCCGCUGAACUUAAGCAUAUCAAUAAGCCGGAGGAA
rnacentral:rRNA from 1 species